UACGUAGGUGGCUAGCGUUGUCCGGAUUCACUGGGUUUAAAGGGUGCGUAGGUGGGUUGGUAAGUCAGUGGUGAAAUCUCCGAGCUUAACUUGGAAACUGCCAUUGAUACUAUCAGUCUUGAAUAUUGUGGAGGUCAGCGGAAUAUGUCAUGUAGCGGUGAAAUGCUUAGAUAUGACAUAGAACACCAAUUGCGAAGGCAGCUGGCUACACAUAUAUUGACACUGAGGCACGAAAGCGUGGGGAUCAAACAGG
rnacentral:rRNA from 1 species